UAGGGAAUCUUCCACAAUGGACGCAAGUCUGAUGGAGCAACGCCGCGUGAGUGAAGAAGGUCUUCGGAUCGUAAAGCUCUGUUGUUGGUGAAGAAGGAUAGAGGCAGUAACUGGUCUUUAUUUGACGGUAAUCAACCAGAAAGUCACGGCUAACUACGUGCCAGCAGCCGCGGUAAUACGUAGGUGGCAAGCGUUGUCCGGAUUUAUUGGGCGUAAAGCGAGCGCAGGCGGAAUGAUAAGUCUGAUGUGAAAGCCCACGGCUCAACCGUGGAACUGCAUCGGAAACUGUCAUUCUUGAGUGCAGAAGAGGAGAGUGGAACUCCAUGUGUAGCGGUGGAAUGCGUAGAUAUAUGGAAGAACACCAGUGGCGAAGGCGGCUCUCUGGUCUGCAACUGACGCUGAGGCUCGAAAGCAUGGGUAGCGAACAGGAUUAGAUACCCUGGUGAGUCCAUGCCGUAAACGAUGAGC
rnacentral:rRNA from 1 species